UAAUAACUGUCUGUCCAUCAUCUGUGUUUCAGGAUUCAGACCUGUUCCCCCCAAACCCUCCUCUGAAGGAGAUUCUUCCUCCAACAACUCUUAAACUGUGGCUGUGCUGUCUUCCUGCUGGAGUGAGAGAGAGAGAGGAGGAGAUGGAGAUGAGGAACACACACACACACACACACACACACACGUUACUCCAGUGGGUAAUCUGCUCUCGGUGUGGAUUUUUAUUUAUGGCUUUUUAUUGUGAAUCUGUUAUUGCUGUAAAUGGGAUUAUUAGAUUGUUCGGGUUUUUCGGUGUAAAUUCUCAUAAUUUGUGUUUGGGUUAGAUGUGAGUGUGUAUGAGCUUCUUUCCUCUGUUCAUUUAUCCCCUGAUUUACUGCAGAAUUUAAUCCGUCAUAACGUCAGGACACGACAGGUUUGAUUUCCGUCUUUGACCUUUUAAUCCAGAGCGAUUUUCCUCAGCAGCUGUUUGUGGAGCUGAUUUGUGCGUCUCAGACAGGAAGUGUGUGAAGCUUCAGAUGUGAUGCGUGUUGAACAGAUUUGACUAAAGUGUAAAAGAUGAGGAGUGACGCAGCAGAAGCAGGAGUUCAUGCUGGAUGAUCAGCGCUCAAAGCUUUUAUUUUCUCCACAAGUGGAAAACACAAAGCAGCUAAAUGACAUGGCACUGAUUCCAUUAUUGAUUAUUUAACUCCAUUUAAAGCAAAAAACAAUCCGUUCAACACGCUGACGCAUCUGUACGACCCGAAUCUCUCCCACAAUCCCUCUGUUCUGUCUGUGGAACUCUGAGUGAAUAAUAAAGUGUAUUUUCUUCA